rnacentral:lncRNA from 1 species
AGCUCUGGAUGUCGGGAUUCUGGGCUCCGUUCUUUUCUCCUCCGGUGUUACUCGAGCGCUGCAUUCACUUUGGAAGGCAAAGAGAAAGUUCUGUUUUAAAGCUCCCUGAAGGAGAAUCGAAAGGCCUUGACUGGGGGAUGUUUAAGCCACUUCCUCAGACGGAGACGGCAGUCACAGGGCAUAAGUGUUUCCCAGCCCUUAUGCAGAGUCACAGCUUUACUUCCUUCUUGAGUAAAAGACCCAUGUCACCCCUGACAUUCUCAUUUUAGUGUCAUAACUUAUUUUGGGCCCUCAUUCCAAUGUUGCAUCAGCCUCUGUCUUAGAAUUCUAUUGCUGUAAUAAAACAUCAUAAC